rnacentral:rRNA from 1 species
UACGAAGGUCCCGAGCGUUGUUCGGAAUCACUGGGCGUAAAGGGAGCGUAGGCGGUUUGGUAAGUCAGAUGUGAAAUCCCGGGGCUCAACCCCGGAACUGCAUCCGAUACUGCCAGACUUGGGCAAUGGAGAGGUAGCUGGAAUUAUCGGUGUAGCAGUGAAAUGCGUAGAUAUCGAUAGGAACACUCGUGGCGAAAGCGAGCUACUGGACAUUUGCUAACGCUGAGGCUCGAAGGCUAGGGGAGCGAAAGGG